AUUGAACGCUGGCGGCAGGCUUAACACAUGCAAGUCGAGCGAGCGGCGGACGGGUGAGUAAUGUCUGGGAAACUGCCUGAUGGAGGGGGAUAACUACUGGAAACGGUAGCUAAUACCGCAUACCAUCAGAUGUGCCCAGAUGGGAUUAGCUAGUAGGUGGGGUAAUGGCUCACCUAGGCGACGAUCACUAGCUGGUCUGAGAGGAUGACCGACAAGUCUGGAACGGAGACGCGGGCCAGACUCCUACGGUAGGGAGCAAUGGGUGAUAUUGCACAAUGGGCGCAAUCCUGAUGAAGCCAUGCCGCGUGUGUGAAGAAGGCCUUCGGGUUGUAAAGCACUUUCAGCGAGGAGGCGUUACUCGCAGAAGAAGCACCGGCUAACUCCGUGCCAGCAGACGCGGUAAUUC
rnacentral:rRNA from 1 species